UACAGAGGUCUCAACCGUUGUUCGGAUUCAUUGGGCGUAAAGGGUGCGUAGGCGGUCGCGCAAGUCGGAUGUGAAAUCUUGGGGCUCAACCCCGAAACUGCAUUCGAUACUGCGUGGCUCGAGUACUGGAGAGGAGACUGGAAUUUACGGUGUAGCAGUGAAAUGCGUAGAUAUCGUAAGGAAGACCAGUGGCGAAGGCGAAUCUCUGGACAGUUACUGACACUGAGGCACGAAGGCCAGGGGAGCAAACGGG
rnacentral:rRNA from 1 species